AAGGCAUGGUGUAAACACUUUCUAAGUAUCUCCUUGAAUCUCUCCCAACUCUCAUAGAUAGUUUCUCCUUCUAAUUGAGUAAAAGAAGUAAUGCUAUUUCUAAGCUU